rnacentral:rRNA from 1 species
CUGCUGCCUCCCGUAGGAGUCUGGGCCGUGUCUCAGUCCCAGUGUGGGGGGCCUUCCUCUCAGAACCCCUACGCAUCGUCGCCACGGUGGGCCGUCACCCCGCCGUCCAGCUAAUGCGCCGCAUGCCCAUCCGCCACCGGAUCGCUCCUUUGGCCACCGGAGGAUGCCCUCCGGUGGCGUCACGGGGUAUUAGGCCGCGUUUCCGCGGGUUAUCCCCCUGUGGCGGCCAGGUUGCAUACGUGUUACUCACCCGUGCGCCGGUCGCCGGG